UACGUAGGGUGCGAGCGUUGUCCGGAAUUAUUGGGCGUAAAGAGCUUGUAGGCGGUUUUGUCGCGUCGGAUGUGAAAAGCCCGGGGCUUAACCCCGGGUCUGCAUUCGAUACGGGCAGACUGGAGUGUGGUAGGGGAGAUCGGAAUUCCUGGUGUAGCGGUGAAAAUGCGCAGAUAUCAGGAGGAACACCGGUGGCGAAGGCGGGUCUCUGGGCCGGUAUCGACGCUGAGGAGCGAAAAGCGUGGGGGAGCGAACAGG
rnacentral:rRNA from 1 species